CCCUGAUGGAAUACAGUGUUGCCAAAUUUUGGCUGAGAAAAAUGUCACUUUUGGCGGGCAAUUCAAAUUUCAUAUUUAUGGAGGACGGAGGCUACUGAUUGAUAAUUCCGUUCAUCUUAGAUGUGUUCAAUUGUAUGUAAUUAUUAUAUGUAUAAUAUGCAAAUAUUUGUUUGUAUGAUUGUUUUUAGACUACAAAUAACAGAGAUAUAAUAUAAUACCAUACAUUAUACAUUAAUUAAAGAAUAGGAUUGAAAUUGAUGUCUAUAAUUUUUUUUGUUGAAGUGUUCAAAUGCCAAGAGCCAGGAAGGAUGUAGUAAAACUGAAGAACAAAAAAAGGAACACAUGAUAUGGAUUAAUAGUAAUAAGGUGUAAGGCAUACAGAAAAAUGAAACGAAAGCUUAAGAGAUAACCAAAACAAUGAUAAUAGAUAACAAGGAAGGCCUAAACAGAGAAAUAAAGUGCAAUCAGAUAACAUUAAAAAAAGUAUCAACCUAUGAAUACAUAGGUAGGGAGUAUAAUAACUGACGACAGGAAAAUAGACGCUGAAAUAGCAAA
rnacentral:lncRNA from 1 species